rnacentral:rRNA from 1 species
CCUACGGGCGGCUGCAGUCGAGAAUCAUUCACAAUGGGGGAAACCCUGAUGGUGCGACGCCGCGUGGGGGAAUGAAGGUCUUCGGAUUGUAAACCCCUGUCAUGUGGGAGCAAAUUAAAAAGAUAGUACCCCAAGAGGAAGAGACGGCUAACUCUGUGCCAGCAGCCGCGGUAAUACAGAGGUCUCAAGCGUUGUUCGGAAUCACUGGGCGUAAAGCGUGCGUAGGCUGUUUCGUAAGUCGUGUGUGAAAGGCGCGGGCUCAACCCGCGGACGGCACAUGAUACUGCGAGACUAGAGUAAUGGAGGGGGAACCGGAAUUCUCGGUGUAGCAGUGAAAUGCGUAGAUAUCGAGAGGAACACUCGUGGCGAAGGCGGGUUCCUGGACAGUAACUGACGCUGAGGCACGAAGGCCAGGGGAGCGAAAGGGAUUAGAUACCCGGGUAGUC